GAAACGGGGCUUAAAAUAAAAAAAACAAUACCAGCAGCAAUGCCACGUCCCCGAGGGCUAAAACAGCUCCAGGUAUAGUGCAAAGAAAAACAACGAAAUAACGCGGCCCGUUUGUCGCCAUGAGGGCACUCACUUUACUUUGCCUGUUUUGCCUUAUCUUGGAUGCCAUCGCAUUCAGAUUUCCCUUAAUAUGUCAUCUCUUCGGGAACACAUGUGUACCUGAAGCCGAUUGUCCCAAAGAGAAAAAGUCAUGGAUUUUUGGCUGUGGAGAUAAAACUGUUUGCUGUAAAACAGCGAAAACCCCAUUCUGCUCAACGUUGGGAGGGACAUGCCAAGCAGUUUGCGGCGGACAUAUAAGAAAGAAUGUCACCUGCUCUGGACUAAAAACAUGUUGCGUCUACACGAGCAAAAGCGAGCAUGAUACUGUUCAUCGCCAACUCUUUGGUCAGAAGGGCAAAUUCAUCCGCAAAGGUUUUGAGUAGAGUACUUGUUUCCUUCACUGGAGAAUACUAAUAAAGCAUUGUGAGUCC